rnacentral:rRNA from 1 species
UACAGAGGUCUCAAGCGUUGUUCGGAUUCAUUGGGCGUAAAGGGUGCGUAGGUGGCGCUGUAAGUCGGGUGUGAAAUUUCGGAGCUUAACUCCGAAACUGCAUUCGAUACUGCGGUGCUUGAGGACUGGAGAGGAGACUGGAAUUCAUGGUGUAGCAGUGAAAAUGCGUAGAGAUCAUGAGGAAGACCAGUGGCGAAGGCGGGUCUCUGGACAGUUCCUGACACUGAGGCACGAAAGCGUGGGGAGCGAACAGGA